rnacentral:rRNA from 1 species
UACGAAGGGGGCUAGCGUUGCUCGGAAUCACUGGGCGUAAAGGGUGCGUAGGCGGGUCUUUAAGUCAGGGGUGAAAUCCUGGAGCUCAACUCCAGAACUGCCUUUGAUACUGAUGAUCUUGAGUUCGGGAGAGGUGAGUGGAACUGCGAGUGUAGAGGUGAAAUUCGUAGAUAUUCGGAAGAACACCAGUGGCGAAGGCGGCUCACUGGCCCGGUACUGACGCUCAGGUGCGAAAGCGUGGGGAGCAAACAGG